rnacentral:rRNA from 1 species
AGUGAACGCUGGCGGUAGGCCUAACACAUGCAAGUCGAACGGCAGCACAGUAAGAGCUUGCUCUUACGGGUGGCGAGUGGCGGACGGGUGAGGAAUACAUCGGAAUCUACUUUUUCGUGGGGGAUAACGUAGGGAAACUUACGCUAAUACCGCAUACGACCUACGGGUGAAAGCAGGGGAUCUUCGGACCUUGCGCGAUUGAAUGAGCCGAUGUCGGAUUAGCUAGUUGGCGGGGUAAAGGCCCACCAAGGCGACGAUCCGUAGCUGGUCUGAGAGGAUGGCGGGCACACUGGGAGAGGAGCACCGUCCAGACUCCUGCGGGGGGCAGGCGGGGGGAAUUUUGGAAAAGGGGCGGAAGGCUUGUCCCACCAUUCCGGGGGGGGGAAAGAAGCCUUGGGGUUGGAAAACCCUUUUUUUGGGAAAAAAAAACAAGGAGUUAAAUACCCCGGUUUUUGACGGUAACCAAAAAAAAAAGCCCCGCUAACUUUGGU